UGGGGAAUUUUCCGCAAUGGGCGAAAGCCUGACGGAGCAAGACCGCGUGAGGGAGGAAGGCCUUUGGGUUGUAAACCUCUUUUCUCAGGGAAGAAGAAAGUGACGGUACCUGAGGAAUCAGCCUCGGCUAACUCCGUGCCAGCAGCCGCGGUAAUACGGAGGAGGCAAGCGUUAUCCGGAAUUAUUGGGCGUAAAGCGUCCGCAGGUGGCCAGACAAGUCUGUCGUCAAAGACUGAAGCUUAACUUCGGAAAGGCGGUGGAAACGGUCGGGCUAGAGGCCAGUAGGGGUAGCAGGAAUUCCCAGUGUAGCGGUGAAAUGCGUAGAGAUUGGGAAGAACAUCGGUGGCGAAAGCGUGCUACUGGGCUGGAACUGACACUGAGGGACGAAAGCUAGGGGAGCGAAAG
rnacentral:rRNA from 1 species